AGACUGUCAGGAAAAGCUGUUUUUAAAAAAAUAUUAAAAACCACAUGAGAAUAAAAAAUCAGUUUGGCAGGAAACCUGAAGAAUAUUUGAUAAAAGUGGUUUCUGUUAGUCUUGGCCCAAAGAAAACGUCUUAGCUCUUUGCUAGAACCGGGCAGCGUGGUGGAAAAAAAAAGAUGCAGUGUCUCCUUCUCUUGCCUAAUCUUUUGGCAGACAAAUGGAUCAUUCUGACAUCGUGUUAGAAGUGUCAGCCUUGUAUUGGACACCCCAAAGAUACUGUACUUUAUGGUGGCAUUACUUCUGGGCAUUGUUGCUGCUUAAGGAAGAGCUGCCAGUCUGCUUUGUAACAGAAGCCUCUUUUAAAACACCUUUAAAAGGAAGUACUUCCAUAGAAGGAAGGAGAAAGAAGGAGAAACAGAAUGGCACUUAGAUCUGUUCUGAAGAAGGAAAAGAAGAGCAUAACUCCAGUCAAAACUUGUUUAAAGAAAUUGUUGGGGCAGAGUUCAGCCGCCUCUACAGCAGUUCCACUUCCCGGAGGGGGCAAAAAGGAAAGCCGGAGGCAGAGCUGUGCAGUGUGGUUGACAAGGGCCUGGUUGUCAUUAUUCUCUCACGCCAGUAUGAAAGAGGUGAGUCUCACAGUUCCCGCGGCAGGUUUGCUUGUGGGGUGGGCCCGUCUGUUAAACUGUUGGUGGCCACCAAUUGGCAGUCCCUGGUUAGACGUUAGGAAGCUGGUAGCUUAGCUUUAUGGGAACCCUGAAACAAUACGCACUACUGUUUCCUGAGAGAAACACUAGAAAUGCAAGUAGGAUUUAAAUACUGGGGAUGAUGUGUUUUGCUAGCUCUAUGGAGGCCUUUGGCAUGAUCCCUUUCAAUUCAUCUAAGAGGAAGGUUCCCCCCG
rnacentral:lncRNA from 1 species